rnacentral:rRNA from 1 species
AUUGAACGCUGGCGGCAUGCUUUACACAUGCAAGUCGAACGGUAACAGGCCGCAAGGUGCUGACGAGUGGCGAACGGGUGAGUAAUGCAUCGGAACGUGCCCAGUCGUGGGGGAUAACGCAGCGAAAGCUGCGCUAAUACCGCAUACGAUCUAUGGAUGAAAGCGGGGGACCGUAAGGACUCGCGCGAUUGGAGCGGCCGAUGUCAGAUUAGGUAGUUGGUGGGGGAAAGGCUCACCAAGCCAACGACCUGUAGCUGGUCUGGGAGGACGACCGGCCACACUGGGAGUGAGACACGGCCCAGACUCCUACGGGAGGCAGCAGUGGGGAAUUUUGGACAAUGGGCGCAAGCCUGAUCCAGCAAUGCCGCGAGCAGGAAGAAGGCCUUCGGGUUGUACACUUCUUUUGUACGGAACGAAACGGUCCUGGUUAAUACCUGGGGCUAAUGACGGUACCGUAAGAAUAAGCACCGGCUAACUACGUGCCAGCCGCCGCCGUAACAC